UACGGAGGGUGCGAGCGUUGUCCGGAAUCAUUGGGCGUAAAGGGCGCGUAGGUGGCCCGGUCAGUCAGUGGUGAAAGCGCGGGGCUCAACUCCGCGUCGGCCAUUGAUACUGCGGGGCUGGAGCACUGUAGAGGCAGGCGGAAUUCCGGGUGUAGCGGUGGAAUGCGUAGAGAUCCGGAAGAACACCGGUGGCGAAGGCGGCCUGCUGGGCAGUUGCUGACACUGAGGAGCGAAAGUGUGGGGAGCGAACAGG
rnacentral:rRNA from 1 species